rnacentral:rRNA from 1 species
ACGCUGGCGGCGUGCCUAAUACAUGCAAGUAGAACGCUGAAGAGAGGAGCUUGCUCUUCUUGAAUGAGUUGCGAACGGGUGAGUAACGCGUAGGUAACCUGCCUUGUAGCGGGGGAUAACUAUUGGAAACGAUAGCUAAUACCGCAUAACAAUGGGUGACACAUGUCAUUUAUUUGAAAGGGGCAAUUGCUCCACUACAAGAUGGACCUGCGUUGUAUUAGCUAGUAGGUGAGGUAACGGCUCACCUAGGCGACGAUACAUAGCCGACCUGAGAGGGUGAUCGGCCACACUGGGACUGAGACACGGCCCAGACUCCUACGGGAGGCAGCAGUAGGGAAUCUUCGGCAAUGGGGGCAACCCUGACCGAGCAACGCCGCGUGAGUGAAGAAGGUUUUCGGAUCGUAAAGCUCUGUUGUAAGUCAAGAACGAGUGUGAGAGUGGAAAGUUCACACUGUGACGGUAGCUUACCAGAAAGGGACGGCUAACUACGUGCCAGCAGCCGCGGUAAUACGUAGGUCCCGAGCGUUGUCCGGAUUUAUUGGGCGUAAAGCGAGCGCAGGCGGUUUGAUAAGUCUGAAGUUAAAGGCUGUGGCUCAACCAUAGUUCGCUUUGGAAACUGUCAAACUUGAGUGCAGAAGGGGAGAGUGGGAUUCCAUGUGUAGCGGUGAAAUGCGUAGAUAUAUGGAGGAACACCGGUGGCGAAAGCGGCUCUCUGGUCUGUAACUGACGCUGAGGCUCGAAAGCGUGGGGAGCGAACAGGAUUAGAUACCCUGGUAGUCCACGCCGUAAACGAUGAGUGCUAGGUGUUGGAUCCUUUCCGGGAUUCAGUGCCGCAGCUAACGCAUUAAGCACUCCGCCUGGGGAGUACGACCGCAAGGUUGAAACUCAAAGGAAUUGACGGGGGCCCGCAC